GGAAAUUCAAUCUUCCUAUCAAUGCGACCAGGCCUCAGGAGAGCUUGAUCCAAAAUAUCCAUCCUAUUUGUCGCCAUAAGAACCUUAAUUUUGUUUGAUGCUUCAAAGCCAUCAAGUUGAUUCAGAAGCUCAAGCAUAGUGCGUUGAACCUCACUAUCACCACCCCCAGAUCCUGACUGCAUUCUAGCAGAUCCAAUGGAGUCUAUUUCAUCCAUAAAGAUUAUGGAUGAAAAUGUUUACCUGGCCAUCACAAAUAGUUCACGAACCAUUCUGGAACCCUCUCCAAUAUACUUCUGAACCAACUCGGAACCUGACACCCUAAUAAAGGUACAGUCGGUGUGAUGAGCAACUGCCCGAGCUAGUAGCGUUUUUCCUGUACCCGGAGGCCCUUCUAACCUUUGGCUGGGCAAUUCCAAGACUUUCAAACAGCUCAGGAUGCUUAAUGGGAAGCUCAAUAACCUCUUUGAUCUCCUUAAUCUGCUGAUCAAGGCCGCCAAUCAUAUCAUAAGUAGAAUCAGGAACCUUCUCAACCUUCAUAAGAUUAACCAAUGGAUCAACUU
rnacentral:sRNA from 1 species